rnacentral:rRNA from 1 species
GCGAACGCUGGCGGCAGGCCUAACACAUGCAAGUCGAACGGUCCUUCGGGAUAGUGGCGGACGGGUGAGUAACACGUGGGAACGUACCUUUUGGUUCGGAACAACACAGGGAAACUUGUGCUAAUACCGAAUAAGCUCGAAAGAGGAAAGAUUUAUCGCCAUUAGAGCGGCCCGCGUCUGAUUAGCUUGUUGGUGAGGUAAAGGCUCACCAAGGCUACGAUCAGUAGCUGGUCUGAGAGGAUGAUCAGCCACACUGGGACUGAGACACGGCCCAGACUCCUACGGGAGGCAGCAGUGGGGAAUCUUGCGCAAUGGGCGAAAGCCUGACGCAGCCAUGCCGCGUGAAUGAUGAAGGUCUUAGGAUUGUAAAAUUCUUUCAGUAGGGACGAUAAUGACGGUACCUACAGAAGAAGCCCCGGCUAACUUCGU